rnacentral:misc_RNA from 1 species
AAGUCGUAACAAGGUUUCCGUAGGUGAACCUGCGGAAGGAUCAUUACAGUGUUCCCUGCCCUUCGGGGUAGGGUCGCCACCCUUGAUUAUUUAUGAGUGUUGCUUUGGCGGGCCUCGCAGCCUGGCCGCGCCCCGGCUUCGGCGGGGGAGCGCCCGCCAGAGGAUUCUACAAACCUGAUUAUUAGUGUCGUCUGAGUACUAUAUAAUAGUUAAAACUUUCAACAACGGAUCUCUUGGUUCUG